GUGAACGCUGGCGGUAGGCCUAACACAUGCCAGUCGAACGGCAGCACAGUAAGAGCUUGCUCUUACGGGUGGCGAGUGGCGGACGGGUGAGGAAUACAUCGGAAUCUACUUUUUCGUGGGGGAUAACGUAAGGAAACUUACGCUAAUACCGCAUACGACCUACGGGUGAAAGCAGGGGAUCUUCGGACCUUGCGCGAUUGAAUGAGCCGAUGUCGGAUUAGCUAGUUGGCGGGGUAAAGGCCCACCAAGGCGACGAUCCGUAGCUGGUCUGAGAGGAUGAUCAGCCACACUGGAACUGAGACACGGUCCAGACUCCUACGGGAGGCAGCAGUGGGGAAUAUUGGACAAUGGGCGCAAGCCUGAUCCAGCCAUACCGCGUGGGUGAAGAAGGCCUUCGGGUUGUAAAGCCCUUUUGUUGGGAAAGAAAAGCAGCAGGUUAAUACCCCGCUGUUCUGACGGUACCCAAAGAAUAAGCACCGGCUAACUUCGUG
rnacentral:rRNA from 1 species